GGGGUGUACAGAAAAAGGAUUACCAAAGAGACACUUUUCCACCAUAUUGUGUUGGAAUGGGUUAUAUCCUUAGUUCAGAUGUCAUUCAUAAUAUGAUGAUGAUUGUACCCAAGCAACCAUUGUUUAAACUGGAAGACGUCUAUAUUGGUCUGAUUCUAGAAAAAUUAAAGAUAGUGCCAGUAGAUAGACGUAAAUAUUUACAGGUACAUUAUGAUUACUCCUGGGAUGUUUGCCAACAUAAAGACAUGUUGUUAAGUCUAGAAGCAAAUCCAAAACAAAUGCUGCAAUUAUAUUUGAAGUUUUCAAAAUUAGGGAAAUGUGGUCCUGUGGAUUAUGUUAAUUUUAAAAAGGUGUAGUUUGUAUUAUUAUUGUAAGGUAUUUGAAAAUUAAUAUAAUUUUAAGCAAUUAUUGGAUGAGG